UACGUAGGGUGCGAGCGUUAAUCGGAAUUACUGGGCGUAAAGCGUGCGCAGGCGGUGAUGUAAGACAGAUGUGAAAUCCCCGGGCUCAACCUGGGAACUGCAUUUGUGACUGCAUCGCUGGAGUACGGCAGAGGGGGAUGGAAUUCCGCGUGUAGCAGUGAAAUGCGUAGAUAUGCGGAGGAACACCGAUGGCGAAGGCAAUCCCCUGGGCCUGUACUGACGCUCAUGCACGAAAGCGUGGGGAGC
rnacentral:rRNA from 1 species